UGCCUCUGCAUCCCAAAGUGCUGGGAUUACAGGCGUGAGCCACCGUGCCCAGCCCUGGAGCUACUCUUAAGAGUCAACCUAAUAAAUAUUUUAAAUCUUUCA